UACGUAGGUGGCAAGCGUUGUCCGGAAUUAUUGGGCGUAAAGCGCGCGCAGGCGGUCCUUUAAGUCUGAUGUGAAAGCCCACGGCUCAACCGUGGAGGGUCAUUGGAAACUGGAGGACUUGAGUACAGAAGAGGAAAGCGGAAUUCCACGUGUAGCGGUGAAAUGCGUAGAGAUGUGGAGGAACACCAGUGGCGAAGGCGGCUUCUGGCCGAUACUGACGCUGAGGCACGAAAGCGUGGGGAGCAAACAGG
rnacentral:rRNA from 1 species